rnacentral:rRNA from 1 species
ACGAGUUAUCUGAACCUUCGGGGAACGAUAACGGCGUCGAGCGGCGGACGGGUGAGUAAUGCCUAGGAAAUUGCCCUGAUGUGGGGGAUAACCAUUGGAAACGAUGGCUAAUACCGCAUGAUGCCUACGGGCCAAAGAGGGGGACCUUCGGGCCUCUCGCGUCAGGAUAUGCCUAGGUGGGAUUAGCUAGUUGGUGAGGUAAGGGCUCACCAAGGCGACGAUCCCUAGCUGGUCUGAGAGGAUGAUCAGCCACACUGGAACUGAGACACGGUCCAGACUCCUACGGGAGGCAGCAGUGGGGAAUAUUGCACAAUGGGCGCAAGCCUGAUGCAGCCAUGCCGCGUGUGUGAAGAAGGCCUUCGGGUUGUAAAGCACUUUCAGUCGUGAGGAAGGUAGUGUAGUUAAUAGCUGCAUUAUUUGACGUUAGCGACAGAAGAAGCACCGGCUAACUCCGUGCCAGCAGCCGCGGUAAUACGGAGGGUGCGAGCGUUAAUCGGAAUUACUGGGCGUAAAGCGCAUGCAGGUGGUUUGUUAAGUCAGAUGUGAAAGCCCGGGGCUCAACCUCGGAAUUGCAUUUGAAACUGGCAGACUAGAGUACUGUAGAGGGGGGUAGAAUUUCAGGUGUAGCGGUGAAAUGCGUAGAGAUCUGAAGGAAUACCGGUGGCGAAGGCGGCCCCCUGGACAGAUACUGACACUCAGAUGCGAAAGCGUGGGGAGCAAACAGGAUUAGAUACCCUGGUAGUCCACGCCGUAAACGAUGUCUACUUGGAGGUUGUGGCCUUGAGCCGUGGCUUUCGGAGCUAACGCGUUAAGUAGACCGCCUGGGGAGUACGGUCGCAAGAUUAAAACUCAAAUGAAUUGACGGGGGCCCGCACAAGCGGUGGAGCAUGUGGUUUAAUUCGAUGCAACGCGAAGAACCUUACCUACUCUUGACAUCCAGAGAACUUUCCAGAGAUGGAUUGGUGCCUUCGGGAACUCUGAGACAGGUGCUGCAUGGCUGUCGUCAGCUCGUGUUGUGAAAUGUUGGGUUAAGUCCCGCAACGAGCGCAACCCUUAUCCUUGUUUGCCAGCGAGUAAUGUCGGGAACUCCAGGGAGACUGCCGGUGAUAAACCGGAGGAAGGUGGGGACGACGUCAAGUCAUCAUGGCCCUUACGAGUAGGGCUACACACGUGCUACAAUGGCGCAUACAGAGGGCGGCCAACUUGCGAAAGUGAGCGAAUCCCAAAAAGUGCGUCGUAGUCCGGAUUGGAGUCUGCAACUCGACUCCAUGAAGUCGGAAUCGCUAGUAAUCGUGGAUC